rnacentral:tRNA from 1 species
UUGGGGUGUAGCCAAGUGGUAAGGCAGCGGUUUUUGGUUCCGCCAUGCGGAGGUUCGAAUCCUCCCACCCCAAG